rnacentral:rRNA from 1 species
UCGGCAACGGAUAUCUCGGCUCUCGCAUCGAUGAAGAACGUAGCGAAAUGCGAUACUUGGUGUGAAUUGCAGAAUCCCGUGAACCAUCGAGUCUUUGAACGCAAGUUGCSCCCGAAGCCAUCCGGCCGAGGGCACGUCUGCCUGGGCGUCACACGCCGU